AAGUGGCUGGUGAGUGUCCUCAGUCCCAGCUCGGAUACAGAUGUGUCGGUGUGUCUUUGUUCCCUGCAGUAGUGCCCUCUCCAGCUCAGUCAUCAUCCACAUACCCCAGGACACUGUCCGAGCCAAAGAGAUCAUCGCCUACGUCAACACGCUGAAGACUCAGGUCAGCUAUUACGCAGAGAGGCUGUCUCAAGCUGCCAAAGACCAAUCGGCCAGCGGACUGGAGUGGACGCUCGCCAGUCUGGUUGACAAGACCCGUCAGCUGGUGGCAGUGUGCGGCUGCAAGCUGCUAGCUUCAGCUAUUUAGGCCCUGAACGCAGUACGAGUACAUCGCAACCAAAGCUUCUCCUUCCGCUGAGUCUGAACAAGUAGUGCUCCGCAAUGACAAGGAUACGCUGAGAGCAAAGUACAGCGGUCACAACAGCCAGUCGUCACUGCACGUGGACUGGCACGAAGAGGAGUGGGCCACGCCCACGGACUACAGCGCCAUGAUGAGCAACAAAGCCAAGAAGUCUAUUGACUUCCUUCUGAUGCAGGACACCGCCCCGACGAUAGCCACGGACGUGUCACUGCAGUACCGCCUCGACAUCGUCUUCUGCCAAACGGUCACCUACACAUAUUUUAAUUAUUGUAUGUCUGAGCUGAUGCGUUUAUCCUGGAGUGACUCAGAGUGAAGGAGAAGGCCAAGAAGAAGUGUAAAUAUCAUAGAAGCAAGGAGUUCAGAGCUCUACGACUUAGUGUCUUUAUGGUAUUUAUGUGUGUAAUGGAGACCAGGGGUUCCAUUACCCUUACUUGUAUUUUUAUUAAUUGACUGACUGAUUUGUAUUUAAAAACCGUAAUGAAGAAAAACACACACUGGUUGAUUGUGAUUCUUUAUUAGGCUUUUUGGGUUGUUAUUUAAGUGACUCGUUAAAG